rnacentral:rRNA from 1 species
UUGGAGGGCAAGUCUGGUGCCAGCAGCCGCGGUAAUUCCAGCUCCAAUAGCGUAUAUUAAACUUGUUGCAGUUAAAAAGCUCGUAGUUGAAUUUUUGCGUGGUGUUAAUAUUGAUUGAUGUCGAGAUUGCACUUCGCUUUUGGGAUUUUUCCCUUUUUACUUUGAGAAAAUUAGAGUGUUUCAAGCAUACUUUUGUCUUGAAUACUUCAGCAUGGAAUAAUAGAGUAGGACUUUGGUUCUAUUUUGUUGGUUUGUGAACCUUAUUAAUGGUUAAUAGGAACGGUUGGGGGCAUUCGUAUUUAACUGUCAGAGGUGAAAUUCUUAAAUUUGUUAAAGAAGAACUACUGCGAAAGCAUUUGCCAAGGACGUUUUCAUUAAUCAAGAACGAAAGUUAGGGGAUCGAA